GCCCUUAUAUUCAUAGGUUCGCAUACAUUAGUAUGUAUUAGACCUAUGACAUCACUGGUUCUUUCAUUUUUUUUUUUUAAAAGGUGACUUAGUCAUCUUACCAAGUAGACAGGACUCACAGGUAGGUAAUGAUUCAUAAUCAUCCAUCUCAAGGAUACGUUCUUUGAUCAAUCUGUCAAUCCUACUCUUAUUUACAUGAUCAAGCCUACAAUGCCAAAGAU
rnacentral:lncRNA from 1 species